rnacentral:lncRNA from 1 species
UAUACAGAAGCCAGACGGAUAGCACAUAAUUGGAUACAUGUUGUAUCACGGUAUAUAGCAACAGACACGUGAACCUCUGGAUGGUAAUGUCCAUAUACAGCAACCUCUACUGACUAAUAGUAGUGAAGCUCAAGAGGAAAAUAUUUUGAUCAAGUGACCAGUCUAUUAGCUGCAAUGCAAGUUUAAGCCUCAUGAGGUGUGCAGAGAGUGUGUCAUUGUAACCUGCCCUGAUUUCCCCUGCUACAGCAGCAGUAAGACUCAUAAUAGAGAUGUUCCUGUAAGGAAGCCCCAAAGCGAGGGACUGCUCACCAGGCUGGCACAGUUAUCUCUUCACCUUGGAAGAAGGACAGGUUUUGUACUAAAUGAGAAUGGAAGUACUGCAUCAGUUCUGAUUAAACAGUACCUGCACACCAGACAAAAAUGUCAGGCAGAACAUUUUCAACGUAGCAAGAGGAGAGCUGUUAGAAAAC